rnacentral:misc_RNA from 1 species
AAGGUUAUACAUUCAAAUUUCUUUAUUAAUUUUUUAUAAAUAAUUUAUAUUAAAUAUAAAAAUAUAUUUUUAAAUAAAAAAGACGACAAGACCCUAUUAAAUUUAACUUAUAGUUUAGCUGGGGAAGCUUUUUAAAUAAAAUUUUUAUAUAAUUUUUAAAAAUAUAUUUAAUAAAAUUAAAAAUAAAACAAAUUACUAUAGGGAUAACAGCGUUAUAUUUUUUAAAAGUUCUUAUUUAAAAAAAUGAUUGCGACCUCGAUGUUGAAUUAUAUUUUCUAUAUUAAUGCAAUAAUUAUAAAAGUAGAUCUGUUCGAUCUUUAAAAUAUUACAUGAUUUGAGUUCAAACCGGUGUAAACCAGGUUGGUUUCUAUCUUUUUAUAUAUAUAUAUUUUUUUAAGUACGAAAGGAAAAAAAAAAAUUUAUUUUAAUUAUUUAGCAAAUUAAUAUGCAUUAGAUUUAGAAUCUAAAUAAAAUAUUAU